rnacentral:rRNA from 1 species
CGCUGGCGGCGUGCCCUAAUACAUGCAAGUCGAACGGUCUUUCUAUGGAAGCUUGCUUCCACUGAGAAGAUAGUGGCGGACGGGUGAGUAACACGUGGGUAACCUGCCCAUAAGAGGGGGAUAACAUCCGGAAACGGGUGCUAAUACCGCAUAGUUUUCUUGAUCGCAUGAUCGAGAAAGGAAAGACGGCCUUUGUGCUGUCGCUUAUGGAUGGACCCGCGGCGUAUUAGUUAGUUGGUGAGGUAAUGGCUCACCAAGACGAUGAUACGUAGCCGACCUGAGAGGGUGAUCGGCCACAUUGGGACUGAGACACGGCCCAAACUCCUACGGGAGGCAGCAGUAGGGAAUCUUCCGCAAUGGACGAAAGUCUGACGGAGCAACGCCGCGUGAGUGAAGAAAGGUUUUCGGAUCGUAAAACUCUGUUGUCAGAGAAGAACAAGUCGGAGAGUAACUGCUCCGGCCUUGACGGUAUCUGACCAGAAAGCCACGGCUAACUACGUGCCAGCCGCAGC